GCCUCUCACACUCCAAGACGUGUACUGCUUCUACAAACACGUGUAACCCUUACCUCUCCCACUGAACUAAAUGGUUAAUACCUAAUUCCAUCUCCUCAUUCUCUCGCUUCUCUCCCUUCCUCUCUUACUUACACUUCUCUGUUACUAACUAAUAAAUAAAAGGUCACUUAGGCACAGGCUAUGGAGGCCUAAUUCCAAAUAAUAAUAGAGAAAUGUCACUAAGACGAUAGAUUGUGCAUUAGGAUUUAGGAGUACAAACAUGAGGUAACCACGAUGUUACAGUCUUAUGCAUUUACAUUUUGAUUCCUGUUUUUAGUGGCAUUUGUAAAUUUUGCUUAGUUUUAUCUGUUAUAUCUCGACGGACAUCUAAACCUGCGAUUCUAUCCUUUUUAGAUAAUAUUGAUCUACAAUUAUCAUUCUGCCUCUGAAAUUCUCCUUGUAUUUUUGCUUUAUUUUGUUGUCAGUUAGUCGUAUAUAAUUUUUAUUAUUUGGUUCUUUCAUAUAUGGACAUUGCUCUUUCUUUAUGUUCUCUUAGUGGAUUUUGUACAUGCAUGUGGUUGAUUGUUUAAAUGCUUCUAUAAAAGUACAGUGAAUUUACCAUCAGAAAGAAAAAAUCGUACUGAAAAGGGAAGAACUUAGAUGCAGCAAAGAUGUUUGACGAUAUGCCUCAACUAUUGUAAUUUUUUAAUUUCAUUUCUUUUUACUUGUAGGUAAUCUAUAAGGCAGAGAUCUAUCAUCUGGCAGCACCAAAGGUAUAUUACUUAUUCCUAUUGGAUAGGAAUACUGAGCAAUAAUGUGCAUUAUAUUUAUUUGAAAUGCAUUUAAUUUUCCUAUAUGUUUAUUGCAGUAUUACUACUGUUUGUCUAAAUAAACAGGGAAAAUCAGAUACAAUCCAAACUGGCAUGGAGUUCUUUUUUUGAUCCAUUUUUCUAUUCGGUAUGUAAUGAUGAUUGAAUUAUCUAGCUCAACAAUAAUUACACUUUUGAUCGUGUUUAAAAACUUCUCAAAGGGUUGCAUUAUAGCUAAGAUACCUUUUCGGUUGUAUUUUUCUGUUACAAUAAUUAAUUUAUUGCGUAAUUUCCUUGGUUGCGCACAUGAAUGUGUGAUUAUGUGGAAGAAGUGUGCUAUGGUUUCACGAAUCGACAUUUCAAGAUUGCCCUAGAAUUAGUUCUUUUAAGCAUUUUUUAUAAUAUUUUCUUUUAAGCAGUUUUCUCUAAGGAUUUCUUUUAAGCAUUUUUUGUUUGGUUGGUUACUGAUUCUCAUUAGAUACUGAGUUGUUUCCUUGUGACUAAGUGUUACUAUUUACCUAUUACGGAAGUGAGAACUUGACAAUUAGGUGGAAUUUAUUUUCCUAUCUUGGAAUUGCCCGACCUUUCUCUAUAAUCCAAGUAACUCUUCUCUAUGUUCCAUAUUUAAGCUUUUACAUCCAUAUAUUUUCAUUAUUUAUGUAAUUUUUAAUGGUACAUGACUUUAUUCUACCUUCUUCUCUGAUGAAUUUCAGUGAGCUUCAUUCGCCACUUUGACACUUUAAUGAGUGAACUGGAAAGACAUUGCAGUUGUAGGUGAGCGUCAAUGCAUG
rnacentral:lncRNA from 1 species